UUGCAGCCAAUUAAGCCGACUGUGCUCUUUUCCCCAUGGGGGCCCAGUGUGCAAUGGCUGCAAACAGCAGCCUCCUUGGUAGUGUAUGCAACCUGUUGCCUGUACAGGUAGCCCUAAGGGACCUUGGAGACAACU
ensembl:snoRNA SNORA70 Small nucleolar RNA SNORA70